rnacentral:rRNA from 1 species
AUUGAACGCUGGCGGCAGGCCUAACACAUGCAAGUCGGGCGAGCGGCGGACGGGUGAGUAAUGUAUGGGGACUGCCUGAUGGCGGGGGAUAACUACUGGAAACGGUAGCUAAUACCGCAUACCAUCAGAUAACCCAUAUGGGAUUAGCUAGUAGGUAAGUUCACGGCUUACCUAGGCGACGAUCCCUAGCUGCUCUGCGUGGAUGAUGAGCCACACUAGGCCUGCGACACGGCCCAGACUCCUACGGAGGCAGCAUUAGGGAUCAUUACCCGAUGGCCGAGACCCUUAUGCAGCCAUGCCGCUUGUAUGAAGAAGGCCUUCGGGUUGUGAAGGUCUUUCUUUCGAGAGGCGUUACCGAAUGUGGAAGCACCGGCUAACUCCGUGCCAGCAGCCGCGGUAAUAC